UCCAGAGGAAGGCUCGUCCGCUCUGGGUUAGUCGGGUCCUAAGCUGAGGCCGACAGGCGUAGGCGAUGGAUAACAGGUUGAUAUUCCUGUACCACCUAUAAUCGUUUUAAUCGAUGGGGGGACGCAGUAGGAUAGGCGAAGCGUGCGAUUGGAUUGCACGUCUAAGCAGUAAGGCUGAGUAUUAGGCAAAUCCGGUACUCGUUAAGGCUGAGCUGUGAUGGGGAGAAGACAUUGUGUCUUCGAGUCGUUGAUUUCACACUGCCGAGAAAAGCCUCUAGAUAGAAAAUAGGUGCCCGUACCGCAAACCGACACAGGUAGUCAAGAUGAGAAUUCUAAGGUGAGCGAGCGAACUCUCGUUAAGGAACUCGGCAAAAUGACCCCGUAACUUCGGGAGAAGGGGUGCUCUUUAGGGUUAACGCCCAGAAGAGCCGCAGUGAAUAGGCCCAAGCGACUGUUUAUCAAAAACACAGGUCUCUGCUAAACCGUAAGGUGAUGUAUAGGGGCUGACGCCUGCCCGGUGCUGGAAGGUUAAGAGGAGUGGUUAGCUUCUGCGAAGCUACGAAUCGAAGCCCCAGUAAACGGCGGCCGUAACUAUAACGGUCCUAAGGUAGCGAAAUUCCUUGUCGGGUAAGUUCCGACCCGCACGAAAGGCGUAACGAUUUGGGCACUGUCUCAACGAGAGACUCGGUGAAAUCAUAGUACCUGUGAAGAUGCAGGUUACCCGCGACAGGACGGAAAGACCCCGUGGAGCUUUACUGUAGCCUGAUAUUGAAAUUCGGCACAGCUUGUACAGGAUAGGUAGGAGCCUUUGAAACGUGAGCGCUAGCUUACGUGGAGGCGCUGGUGGG
rnacentral:rRNA from 1 species